AUCAUUAAGCGGAGGAAAAGAAACUAACAAGGAUUCCCCUAGUAACGGCGAGUGAAGCGGGAAGAGCCCAGCACCAAAUCCCCCGUCGUUGCGGCGCGGGGAACUGUGGUGUUUAGGACGACUAUUGGCGCGUCGUGCCUUCGUCCGAGUCCUCCUGAUCGGGGCCUUUCCCAUAGCGGGUGUCAGGCCUCUAGUCUAGGCGAGGGUCGGCGUGCCUCUAAACGUCCUUAGAGUCGGGUUGUUUGGGAAUGCAGCCCAAAGUGGGUGGUAAACUCCAUCUAAGGCUAAAUACUGACACGAGACCGAUAGCGGACAAGUACCGUGAGGGAAAGUU
rnacentral:rRNA from 2 species